rnacentral:piRNA from 1 species
UAAUAGUCUGUGUGACGUGUUUGUUCUA